rnacentral:rRNA from 1 species
AGCGAACGCUGGCGGCAGGCUUAACACAUGCAAGUCGAGCGGGCACUUCGGUGUCAGCGGCAGACGGGUGAGUAACACGUGGGAACGUACCCUUCGGUUCGGAAUAACGCUGGGAAACUAGCGCUAAUACCGGAUACGCCCUUUUGGGGAAAGGUUUACUGCCGAAGGAUCGGCCCGCGUCUGAUUAGCUAGUUGGUGGGGUAAUGGCCUACCAAGGCGACGAUCAGUAGCUGGUCUGAGAGGAUGAUCAGCCACACUGGGACUGAGACACGACCCAGACUCCUACGGGAGGCAGCAGUGGGGAAUAUUGGACAAUGGGCGCAAGCCUGAUCCAGCCAUGCCGCGUGAGUGAUGAAGGCCUUAGGGUUGUAAAGCUCUUUUGUCCGGGACGAUAAUGACGGUACCGGAAGAAUAAGCCCCGGCUAACUUCGUG